GUCGUUGUAGUAUAGUGGUAUAUUCCCGCCUCACGCGCGGGUGACCUGGGUUCGAUCCCCGGCAACGGCG